UACGAAGGGGGCUAGCGUUGCUCGGAAUUACUGGGCGUAAAGGGCGCGUAGGCGGAUACUUAAGUCGGGGGUGAAAGCCUGUGGCUCAACCACAGAAUGGCCUUCGAUACUGGGACGCUUGAGUAUGGUAGAGGUUGGUGGAACUGCGAGUGUAGAGGUGAAAUUCGUAGAUAUUCGCAAGAACACCGGUGGCGAAGGCGGCCAACUGGACCAUUACUGACGCUGAGGCGCGAAAGCGUGGGGAGCAAACAGG
rnacentral:rRNA from 1 species